rnacentral:rRNA from 1 species
UACAGAGGGGGCAAGCGUUGUUCGGAAUUACUGGGCGUAAAGGGCGCGUAGGCGGCCCGCUAAGUCGAACGUGAAAUCCCCGGGCUCAACCCGGGAACUGCGUCCGAUACUGGCAGGCUUGAAUCCGGGAGAGGGAUGCGGAAUUCCAGGUGUAGCGGUGAAAUGCGUAGAUAUCAGGAGGAACACCGGUGGCGAAGGCGGGUCUCUGGGCCGAUACUGACGCUGAGGAGCGAAAGCGUGGGGAGCGAACAGG